rnacentral:rRNA from 1 species
UUGGAGGGCAAGUCUGGUGCCAGCAGCCGUUAGUAAUUCCAGCUCCAAUAGCGUAUAUUAAAGUUGUUGCAGUUAAAAAGCUCGUAGUUGAAUUUCGGGGUUAGUAGGUUGGUCAUGCCACUGGUAUGUACUGAUCUUACUGAUUCCUCCUUCCUGAUGAACCGUAAUGCCAUUAAUUUGGUGUUGCGGGGAGACUGGACUGUUACUUUGAAAAAAUUAGAGUGUUUAAAGCAGGCUAACGCUUGAAUACAUUAGCAUGGAAUAAUGAAAUAGGACGUUCGAUCCUAUUUUGUUGGUUUCUAGGAUUGACGUAAUGAUUAAUAGGGAUAGUUGGGGGCAUUAGUAUUCAAUUGUCAGAGGUGAAAUUCUUGGAUUUAUUGAAGACUAACUACUGCGAAAGCAUUUGCCAAGGAUGUUUUCAUUAAUCAAGAACGAAAGUUAGGGGAUCGAAGACGAUCAGAUACCGUCGUAGUCUUAACCAUAAACUAUGCCGACUAGGGAUCGGAUGAUGUUAAUUUUUUAAUGACUCAUUCGGCGCCUUACGGGAAAC